rnacentral:rRNA from 1 species
UACGUAGGGGGCUAGCGUUGUCCGGAUUUAUUGGGCGUAAAGAGCGUGUAGGCGGCCAGGUAGGUCUGCUGUGAAAACUCGAGGCUCAACCUCGAGACGUCGGCGGAAACCAUCUGGCUAGGAGUCCGGAAGAGGAGAGUGGAAUUCCUGGUGUAGCGGUGAAAUGCGCAGAUAUCAGGAAGAACACCCGUGGCGAAAGGCGGCUCUCUGGGACGGUACUGACGCUGAGACGCGAAAGCGUGGGGAGCGAACAGG